UGGGAGUAGUUUCCUGCCUCCCCUGGUAUUGACAGACUCACUGUCUGGGACAUCAUUGUCACCUCGCCUCCUGCCUCUGCGGGUUCCUUUCCUCAGGAGUGACACUGACUGCCUUUUCAGCAACCCUUAAAUUCCCUGCACCAAACAGCUGUGUUUGUCGCGGCAGUUCAUGAUUCACCGCUUCUCUGCCCCCUCCAGCUGAUCUCCCUAAUUGCCUCUGGCGCAGCGUUCCUCCCGCUUGGGCUCACCACUCGUCCCUUCCCUGUCCAGGUUCUACCCUGCGCCCAGGAAAGACCGGACAAGGAAGAAACCCUGGUUUCUGGAGCAGCCACACCUGAGGUCCUGACGGGCACCUCCAUCUUCUGUCCAGAUGACAGCAUUGCCACCCCUCUCCAGAGGCAGAGCGAGCACCACUCCCUGGGGCUCCACAGCAGCCACUCCACAGUGAGCUACUUUGUUGCAGGCAGAAUGAUUUUGUGGAGACCUAGCUGACUAAGUGUAUAUACCUGUUAUAAGUUGCCUGAGUGUUAAAGUUGAUAACAUAAUUGCUUUUGUUAUAUGAUAAGUAUUUGCUUUAUCUGCUGGUACAGAUUAUUAUUGAGUUCAUUGAAAAUAUUUUAGUUGUUA